rnacentral:rRNA from 1 species
AAGUAGAAUUCCAGGUGUAGCGGUGAAAUGCGUAGAGAUCUGGAGGAAUACCGAUGGCGAAGGCAGCUUCCUGGCAUCAUACUGACACUGAGGCUCGAAAGCGUGGGUAGCAAACAGGAUUAGAUACCCUGGUAGUCCACGCCGUAAACGAUGUCUACUAGUCGUUGGGUCCCUCGAGGACUUAGUGACGCAGCUAACGCAAUAAGUAGACCGCCUGGGGAGUACGGCCGCAAGGUUAAAACUCAAAUGAAUUGACGGGGGCCCGCACAAGCGGUGGAGCAUGUGGUUUANUUCGAUGCAACGCGAAGAACCUUACCUGGUCUUGACAUACACAGAAUCUUGUAGAGAUACGAGAGUGCCUUCGGGAAUUGUGAUACAGGUGCUGCAUGGCUGUCGUCAGCUCGUGUCGUGAGAUGUUGGGUUAAGUCCCGCAACGAGCGCAACCCUUGUCCUUAGUUACCAGCGGGUUAAGCCGGGAACUCUAAGGAUACUGCCAGUGACAAACUGGAGGAAGGCGGGGACGACGUCAAGUCAUCAUGGCCCUUACGACCAGGGCUACACACGUGCUACAAUGGUAGGUACAGAGGGCAGCUACACAGCGAUGUGAUGCGAAUCUCAAAAAGCCUAUCGUAGUCCAGAUUGGAGUCUGCAACUCGACUCCAUGAAGUAGGAAUCGCUAGUAAUCGCGGAUCAGAAUGCCGCGGUGAAUACGUUCCCGGGCCUUGUACACACCGCCCGUCACACCAUGGGAGUUGAUUGCACCAGAAGUGGUUAGCCGAACCUUUUAGGACGG